rnacentral:tRNA from 1 species
AGUUCAGUUGGUUAGAACGCCUGCCUGUCACGUAGGAGGUCGCGGGUUCGAGCCCCGU